rnacentral:ncRNA from 2 species
UUUUACCACUAGGGGUGCCAUUUAAAUGGCUGAGAUUAAAGUGUGACUUUGAGACUCUUAGAACCUGAUCUGGUUUAUACCAGCGUAGGGAAGUGGAACAAGGAAAUU